ensembl:lncRNA
UUUAUUUAUUUUAUUUUAUUUUAUUUUAUUUUAUUUUAUUUUAUUUUAUUUAAGAUGUGACCUACACAUUUCUUGCCAGCUUUCUUGAUAUCCACCCUUACAUAUCUGUCAAGGUAUUUUUAAACAUCUUUUCUGAACAGUGUCCAUCUAGUGCCAUUGAACUUACUGUAUUAACAGCGUCUCUGGAAAAGACACUGAUAUUAGCUUGUUAGGAAAGUGAACUUGCAUUUUUACACAGCAAUGUAGCAUAGCGUAUUUAAUCCAAGCCAAUUUACUCUUAAUAUUCUGUGAAAAAACAUAAAAGUGUACAGCAAUGUUAAGAUGAGGAUUCUCAACACCUACCUUGCCCAAUUCAGUCUCUUUAGAGUCAGCUGUAGUGCCUCAAAACCUGAGAAUUGUAAGAUCAUCACUGUAUUGAUCACCAGAAGAGGUUCCUAUAAUCAUCAGUGUUGCUUUACUACCGUUGAGUCAUUUAACAUAUCACUUUUCUCUCAAACUGUUCUCUCACUAGCAUUUUCAAAAAGGCGUUUAUCACAUUAUUGCUAUUUAAUGCUCCAGUCUGAAUGUCUUUGCAUUGAUUACUCUAUAUUUAAAUGAAACAUGUGGGCUGCAUAGCAAUAAAACAUUCCCUAAACAAUUGCUUUACCCUGCUGAAAGAAAAACAGCUUGGUGGUUAGCGAUUAAGACUGGUUUAAGCAGGUUUUUCAGCAAGGACGCAUAGCUUGAAUGGUAAAUAUGAAAUAAGUUAUUUGCUUAUAUCACACUCUAUCUGCUAUUUAACACCCUACUGUAAUUGUCACAGGUGUUUGUAGAUAUUAGGCAGAUGAGGGCAGUUGGCUCCUUUGGCUGUAAGGUCUUCUCUUAGCAGCAUAUGGACUGGUUCAGUGGACUGUUGUUGCUUAUAUUUUCUUGUUACUGAUUAGUUCAUCUAGGAGAUGAUCUGUGAGAUGAAAUUCUUCCCACACUGCCAGUGCAUGGCACCGCACAGAUGCAACUUUAACAUGGAGAAACAUUUUUCCUUUUUAUAGCCAAUUCAUUUUUUCCUUUUCCUUCUGGUUUGUGAUUUAUUCUCUGUUUUUCCAGUGUCAUAUAGGGAGAUUGGGAAUAAAUGUCCCACCUGUAGUUAUUGUAUGACGUGAAAUGUUUCAAUAAACUUACAUGUAUUUGCCCAGAGCUUGGUGUUUUGUUGUGGUGUUGAUAAAAGGGCUUUAUUA